UACGGGGGGGGCAAGCGUUGUUCGGAAUUACUGGGCGUAAAGGGCGCGUAGGCGGCCUGCUAAGUCGGAUGUGAAAUCCCUCGGCUCAACCGAGGAACUGCAUCCGAUACUGGCGGGCUUGAAUCCGGGAGAGGGAUGUGGAAUUCCAGGUGUAGCGGUGAAAUGCGUAGAUAUCUGGAGGAACACCGGUGGCGAAGGCGGCAUCCUGGACCGGUAUUGACGCUGAGGCGCAAAAGCUAGGGGAGCAAACGGG
rnacentral:rRNA from 1 species